rnacentral:rRNA from 1 species
CAAACGUUGCAGGAAGGGUGUCUGAAAGGAUGCCCGUCUACGGACCUGCGACGAGGUGCUGCAUGGUUGUCGUCAGCUCGUGCCGUGAGGUGUCGGCUUAAGUGCCAUAACGAGCGCAACCCCUACCGCCAGUUGCCAACAGGCAAAGCUGGGGACUCUGGCGGGACUGCCGGCGCAAGCUGCGAGGAAGGCGGGGAUGACGUCAAAUCAGCACGGCCCUUACGUCCGGGGCGACACACGUGUUACAAUGGCAGGUACAGCGGGAAGCCACCUGGCGACAGGGAGCGGAACCCGAAAGCCUGUCUCAGUUCGGAUUGGAGUCUGCAACCCGACUCCAUGAAGCUGGAUUCGCUAGUAAUCGCGCAUCAGCCACGGCGCGGUGAAUACGUUCCCGGGCCUUGUACACACCGCCCGUCAAGCCAUGGGAGUCGGGAGUGCCUGAAGUGCGUGAGCGCGAGCAGCGCCCUAGGGCAAAACCGAUGACUGGGGCUAAGUCGUAACAAGGUAACCGU